rnacentral:lncRNA from 1 species
AUGAGCUGAGCUUUCUGAGAGAACUGCAGAAACAUGGGGUUUGGGAUGACAACAGGCAGUGGAAAAGCAGUUUUCGGGUGCUCACUGACACGAAUGUAGGCAAAACCAUCUGCAUACGUGUGCCUGUCUCUCCCACACAUUUCUGAAGAGGGGUGGAAUGUAUUUCUGGAAUACUUGUGCUAAAAAUAAACCCAUCCUUGCUGUCUAUGAAGAGAGGCAGGUAUAGCCCGGGUUUCUGUAAGCCCAUGAACUUGUGAACUGCUUAGAGGCUGAGGCACAACUAAAAAACCCCCAUGGAAAUCAAUUGGAGCUGCUUGUACAGGAGGGUGGCUGGUUGCUUGGAAAAGCCAAAAGAGGCCUCUCACAGGAAAGCAGCUGGGAACAGUGCUAAAUAAUACUGAGAAGAAAGGAGCCAAACAAGGAACAGAAAGCAACGGCUGCAGAAAAGCGAGAAAACAGAAAUGCAGCCAUCAGAAGCAGAACUCGGUUGUGGAGACUCACUUUAGACACCAGCUCCUCUGGCUGCUGCUCACCUGGGUCAUCUGCCACAGCCCCAGACCUGGCUGUAAGGUCCUUGGCACUCUCUGUCUGAGAAUUUGGGUAGACUGGAAAACAGGACAGGUCAUCAUCCCAUCCCCGUAGCUGAACCUGGAGAAUGGGGCCGGUGGGGUACGUGGAGUAGAUAGGUAGACGGCAUCACAGACGAACCCCCUAAUCACCAGUCCCAAAUAUUAUGUCACAACCCCCUAAUGAGGAUUAUCCAGAUGAGUCCCAGGUAAUCAUAGACUGCUGUUAACAUUAAAGUGAUUCCUGGGACUGAAACUCACUGUACCAAAUGAACUAAAAUGGCUGGUAUUAAUAAACUGACAAAUGCAAAUAAAAGAACACUUCUUUAAUCUCCUUCCAUUAAGGAAAGGGCAUGUGGUUUGAAUUAUGAUCAUAUAAACCACUGACUUCAGGCACUUUUUAAAGGGUUGUAGUCUGCAAAACUCAUUAGAAAAUUUAUGCUAUCAAAUAUUUGAAUAAAAUAUAAUGGGAAUAAAGAGUUAAAUACUGCCUUAAAAAAAAAAAAAAAAAAAAAAAAAAAAAAAAAAGGUUUUCUUUUAAUUUUUAAAAGGGAAAUUACACAAAANNNNNNNNNNNNNNNNNNNNNNNNNNNNNNNNAAUCUUCCUAAAAAAAAAAAAA